rnacentral:lncRNA from 1 species
ACUAGCGAGAUGAGUCUGCACCAUUGCCUCCAAGCUACGAGCACCUCUUAUGUCGAACGAGUCAUAUGUCACCGGGUCAACAGAAGAGCAAAAUCGAUACGUAAUAGACAGAACUUUCAUUGGCGUCAUUCCGAAUAUUUUACGCCUAAUUCUUUUACGAAGUUCCGUCAAAUCUAUGUUCUAGUUAAAAACCAGUCGCACUGUAUUAUCCGAUAAAAAAAUAACACCAUUCUCGGUGUGGCAAACCUCACCAUCAUAGUAAUAACAGCACUAAUACGUUCACUCAUCUUCAAUUUCUAUCCUUUUUAGC